UACGGAGGGAGCAAGCGUUACUCGGAAUUACUGGGCGUAAAGGGCGCGUAGGCGGGAUGGCAAGUCGGUCGUGAAAUCCCUCGGCUCAACCGAGGAACGUCGAUCGAUACUGCUGUUCUUGAGGAUUGCAGAGGAGACUGGAAUUCCCGGUGUAGCGGUGAAAUGUGUAGAGAUCGGGAGGAACACCGGUGGCGAAGGCGGGUCUCUGGGCAAUUCCUGACGCUGAGGCGCGAAAGCGUGGGGAGCAAACGGG
rnacentral:rRNA from 1 species